rnacentral:RNase_P_RNA from 18 species
UGAGCUGGACAAGUGAUCGCGGCUGUCAUAUGACAGGUGAGGAAAGUCCGGGCUUCGCAGGGCAGGGUGCCGGAUAACGUCCGGUGGAGGAAACUCCCAGGCUAGUGCAACAGAAAUAAACCGCCAUGUACAUGGUAAGGGUGGAAAGGCGAGGUAAGAGCUCACCGCUGCUUCUGGUAACAGAACAGGCUCUGUAAACCCCACUCGAAGCAAGACCAAAAAAGCAGCUUCGGCUGUGAGACGAAUGGCUGCCCGUCAAGUCUCAGGUAGGUCGCUUGAGCUUUAUGGUAACAUAAAGCCUAGAUAGAUGAUCACUCUCGACAUAACCCGGCUUAUCGUCCAGCUUUUAUA